UACGUAGGCAGCAAGCGUUGUUCGGAGUUACUGGGCGUAAAGGGUGCGUAGGUGGCUCUAUAAGUAUGGUGUGAAAUCUCCCGCUUAACUGGGAGGGUGCGCCGUAGACUGUGGGGCUAGAGUGUGGGAGAGGAAAGUGGAAUUCCUGGUGUAGCGGUGAAAUGCGUAGAUAUCAGGAGGAACACCGGUGGUGUAAACGGCUUUCUGGACCAUAACUGACACUGAGGCACGAAAGCGUGGGUAGCAAACAGG
rnacentral:rRNA from 1 species